AUUUUUAAUUUUUUUUUUCAAUAUUUUUAUUAUUAUUAAUUUAUAAUAUUAAUUUUUAAUGUUAAUUUUUUUUUUAAUUAUUAAAAUUGUAAUUUUUUCAAAAAUUAAAAAAAAAGUUUAACAUUUUUUUAUUUUUUUUUUAAUUUUUUUAUUUUUCAAUAUUUUUAUUAUUUAUUUAUAAUAUUAAUUUUUAAUGUUAAUUUUUUUUUUUAAUUAUUAAAAUUGUAAUUUUUUCAAAAAUUAAAAAAAAAGUUUAACAUUUUUUUAUUUUUUUUUUUAAUUUUUUUAUUUUUCAAUAUUUUUAUUAUUUAUUUAUAAUAUUAAUUUUUAAUGUUAAUUUCUAUUUAAUUAUUAAAAUUGUAAUUUUUUAUUUUUUUUUAUUUAUUGUGUUGAGAAAAGCACUGAGAUCAGCUGUCUUCAUUGAUACAGUGAGUUCAAACCGGACUCAUGUAUAAAUGUGUGAGUACUAGGUCGUAGAUAAUUUCGUAUACCUGGGAACCAGCAUCAACAACACGAACAAUGUCAGCCUCGAAAUCCAGCGCAGAAUAACUCUUGCCAACAGGUGCUACUUUGGACUGAGUAGGCAAUUGAACAGUAAAGUCCUCUCUCGACGAACCAAAAUCAAGCUCUACAAGUCGCUUAUCAUUCCCGUCCUGCUUUACGGUGCAGAAGCUUGGACGAUGUCAACAUCAGAUGAGACGACACUAGGAGUUUUCGAGAGGAAAAUUUUGCGCAAGAUUUAUGGUCCUCAGAACAUUGGCAACGGCGAAUACCGCAGACGAUGGAACGAUGAGCUGUACGAGUUAUACGACGACAUUGACAUAGUUCAGCGAAUAAAAAGACAGCGGCUACGCUGGCUAGGUCAUGUUGUCCGAAUGGACGAAAACACUCCAGCCCUGAAAGUGUUCGAUGCAGUACCCGCCGGAGGAAGCCGAGGAAGGGGAAGGCCUCCACUCCGUUGGAGGGACCAGGUGGAGAGCGACCUGGUUACACUUGGGAUCUCCAACUGGCGCCGAACUGCGAAGGAGAGAGACAGGUGGCGCACUAUCGUCGAUUCGGCUAUAACCGGCUAAACGGUUGCAACGCCAAUCACAUACAUACUAGAAAACUUGCAAGGAUCAAAAAGGAUAAUUUUCUCACCAUUUUAUUUUAAUUAUUUCGCUCGAUACAUUAUUUAUUUCGUGUGUGGUAUACAUACAUAAAUUCUGGAAUUAUUCUAACUAAAGAAUCGCAGUUUUAUCAGGCAAACGCCAUUACAACAUAUAAAUAUCGAAAGCCUCUUGGGUUUCUAUACUCCAAAUUGUUUAACACAAAUUUAUAAAGCUUUAAUUAGUUGCUAAUUCUUAAAACUAAAAACGAAAGCCUAAAUUCAAUUGGCGAAUAGAACCGAAAUGCAUUUUUGUGAGUGUGGCAUAUAAUUUUUUUUUAUUCAUAAUGAAAAGUAUUUGUUGUUUUGCAGUAGCAUUGAAAUGGACAGUUGCGUUAACGGUAACUUCACACAAAAAAAAAGUUAACCAAAAAUUUGUAUGCAGCUAACCAACCAACAAAAAAUCUGGUUAUUACAAUGCGAAGCGGCGGAUUUCUGCAUACAAACGCAUAAAUAAAUUUACUUAAGUAAAAUAAAAAAGAAAACAAAAACAAAAACAUUGAAUUUGUGAACAUUUCAAGUUUGUUAAACAGAUGAAAAUGCAUGCAAGGUAAAUGAUAUGUGAAGAGUGACCGUAGUAUAUACAUACAUAAGUAGUACAUAACAAAAAACAAAUCUCUGUAAAUGGAUAACAUAGACGUAAAAAGUAAAACAAAAAAUGGAAAAGUGAAAAAUAAAAACAGAAACAGAAACAAAAAACAAAAAUGAAAAGCGUGUAAGCUGCGCGCACGCAUUGUUGCUUGAGCAUUUGAUUUACCUUCUAAUUUGCAAAUAAAAGAUUUAUGCUAAAAAUGCUUACAAACAUUAAAACAAAUCCAAAUAAAAAGAACUCAUAAACCUAAAAGUCGAAAUUCUUUGUUCUUCUUCUUCUCUUCUGUAACUACUUUAUCUACCACAUAUGUACAUUUUCUACAAUUACACAUUAAGCUGAAGGAAAAUUAACAUCACGAUUUUCAUUAUUUUUUGUAUUUUUCGCUUUAAUUUAUUCAUAAUUUGUAUGUAUGUUUCAUGAGCAUAAUUUAUAAGUUUAUAUAACUUUAAUUGUGUUUUGUUAUUAUUAUUAUUAUUAUUUUUAUAUUUCCUUUGAUUUAUUUGUAAGUAGAUAAUUUAUUUUUAAUUGAAAUGUUUAACUGCUUGGCUGGAGUUUAGUUUAAGAAUAUAUUAAUUUUUAGACUAGCGCUAACUUAUUUAAGCGUAAACUUUAAAUUAAUUUUUAAAUUAAUGUUAAAUGAAAGCAAAGUAAUGUAAGAGCGCUUUAAUUUUACGAUUUUGUUUUUAAUUUUUAGCAAUUAAAUUAAAUUAAAAAAAAAAAAACAAGAAACACAACAAUCUGGAUUUUUUACAUUUUUUUUUUAAUUUCUUCAUCAAACGAAGCCGGAAAUGCAUUUUUUUUAAUUAUAUUUUUAGAAAUGUUGAUUUUUGAAGAACAAUUCUGAAUAUCGCCGAAACCAGAAGCUGAAGUCUUUCUUAUAUAUUACCAAGUUCACCGUUUUAACAAUAUUUCUGCAUAAAAAAAAAACAGUUAUCUCACCUGGACCCGGAAAAAAUUUAACUACAGAGUUUAACAUAAUAUUUGAUACGCAGUCAACACCUCUGUCAAAACUAUUCUACUUCCGCUUCGGUGCUGGUAACUUGGUAUUUUCUGGCCGACUUCAAUUAAAUUUUGUUUGAAAAUUUGUAACUUUAACUUUCAGAGAACAUUGUAAACUAGCCUCCACAUAAUUUUGAAUCACCUGUUUUCGCCGGUUUCAAAAAAUUAUUUUUCAGAUAGAUUGAGCAAAUCUCUAUAUGUUCUGAAUUCCUCAACUUUUAUUUGUGGAAAUCACAGAAAACACUCCAGCUCUGAAAGUGUUCGAUGCAGUACCCGCCGGAGGAAGCCUGGGAAGGCGAAGGCCUCCACUCCGUUGGAGGGACCAAGUGGACCUGGUUACACUUGGGACCUCCAACUGGCGCCGAACUGCGAAGGAAAAAGAGAAGUGGCGCACUAUCGUCGAUUCGGCUAUAACCGGCUAAACGGUAUCAGCUCAGAGGGUCGGAGUGGUAGCUGCACAAUACACUGGAACACUGGAAUAAGCAAACUCUAUUCUAUUGAAAACAUAUAUUCUAAUUAUGAAAUUAACUUAAGGUUAGAACUAAGAGAAUUACAAAAUAAAAUAACAUUAAAUUGGAACAAAAAUGUUUUUAUUUAUUACGGGAGGGGGGUGGAAUGUUAUGUUCAUAGGAAUGAGAAACAUGUUCUGGCGGUUAAGCAAAAUAGGAUUCAGGUAAUUACGCAUUGAUGAGGUUUUUAAAUCUUAAAAAUGGUUUCUGAGUUGCCAAAUCAGAACUGAAGUCUGACAAAACACUUAGACCCCGUAACAGCCAAUAAAAAACAUAUAAGAAUAUAUACUACUAACUCCAAAUUACAAGAUUAGUCUGUACCGGUAGCGGUGACAACCACGUCAUUUGAUUCAAUUUUCUUUCCAGUGUGUUUGGAAACACAAAGAAACCAUACUGGGUCAAAUCUGCAGAAUACGACGGCUGGAACAGCAAGCAAUUCGUAUCCUAGUUCGUGGUGAUAGCAAAAAUAUUAUUCGGUGCAAUAUUAUUUUUUGCAAUACGGUGUCGAAUCGAUUUAAUAAUUCGACAUAGUAUAGCUCUAUGACCAUUUUGCCUUUCUGCGGGUAGUAUACAUAGAUCGUUUCUUGUAAACUCUCGAAAAUGUUGGAAUUCUUUUAUAUGGCCGACAAGAGAGUCUUGUCUUCAUUGAGCGAUAGAGAUUCCCAUUCACAGUAACGUGCCCGUCUUGAACAUCACGGAAGAAGUAUGGCCCAAUGAUGCCGCCGGCCAAUAAACCGCACCAAAGCGUAAUUUGUUCGCGAAGCAAUAGUAAAUUUUAAUAACUUCGUCUCGUUGGAUCGUAUAUAUUUCCAUAAUAAAAUGACAGACCUUACUGAAGAAAAAUGUCAAAACAGCGUGAAAAAAUAUGGUUUCAUUUGCUAUCCCUAUCAGUCUACUUUUGUAGCGCCGCUAUUAAAAACCCAUUUAUAAGAAUAUCCAUCCGAUUUGAUCACAUAUGUAUAAGUAAGUUUAUAGACAGUCCAACGACUCGAGGUAUCCGUUAGAAGAUUUUAAAUUCUCCUAAAUAAGUUACAAGUCCACGUCCACGUCCACGUCUUGAAAUAUUCGAUUUUGUAUUUUUCUAAAUUUUUCAAAAAAUCAAGACUCAUAACAUACGAGGAUAAUUCGUCCAAGUGGACGAAAUAACUUCACAGAAAAAAUAGCAAAACUCAGCUGUGGUCUAACUGCUUAAAUGUAAACAAGAAAUCAUAUUCACACCUUAACUAUGUGAUUAGGCAUAUUUUACAUACACAUGUGUAUAUGUAUGUAUGCUAUUGUCCUGAUUCUACACUCUCUACAUCCUUUAGAUACAAAACCCAUGUGUAUUGAGAUAUUUGCAUAUAUACAUACAUAUGUAUGUAUGUGUGAAUAAGUAAAAGCUAACAAUGACGUCUGUUUAAAGCUUGUUUGCGCGUCGGCUACCACAAUGAAAGCAUUUCCGAAUACUUUUACUAAAUUUUCUGUACUCCUGUUCGUUUGGCUUGUUUGACGGUUUUACGAGUGUCAAAAUUUGACAGUUAAUGACAGUCUUUACUGUUAUUGUCAUCGUAAAAAUGGUGGUGUUUAUAUAUUUGAUAUAUAAAUAUGUAGAUACAUAUAUACAGUUAAUGUUUCAAAUACAACAAUAAACUAAUAUAUAUAUACGUACUGUGGGGUGGUUAGUAUCAAGCUUAUUAGUAAGUACAGUUGAACUUCCAUAACUCGAACUUCUAUAACCCGAAGUUCUUCAUAACUCGAACUCUUGAAUUGGCAAUAGAAGUCAAUUUUCUUACAAAUUACCUUUCGUAACUCGGAUGUCUCUCUAACUCGAAGUUUUUUUUGUGAAUUAUGGUGAUUCGAGUUAGGGAAAUUCAACUGUUAUUAGAUGUUUUAAUGUUAACCUUUACCAAUAUAUUAACGGUAUUAUUUUAUGACUCAGCAACACCUUCAGUUUAAAUUAGAAACAAACUUGAAAUGGAGCAUUCAUUUUCGGAAACAUUUUAGGGUGCUUUUUUAAAACUUGUAUGAAAAAAUUCUUCGAGUGUCCUUUAGGAUUCUACAUGCUUUACUUAUUGAGGUUUAUUCUGAAUGAACUUAAUUUCGAAAAGUAGUAAGAUGACUGUACAAAGGUUUGAAGAAUAACGCUGAAACCAUCGAAGCGAACUUCGAGUAAUGGAAGUUCAACUAUAUUAUUUAUUUUAUUUUAUUUAUGAAAAAUAAUAAUUAAUUAAUUAAUAAUUCCCUAACUUUUAAAUUAAGCAUUAUUUAUAAACGUCAUGAUCAAAAAACAUUUUUACUUCAAUUUUUUAUUAUUCAUGCAACCGUUUCGAUUCAAAAAAAUCUAUUAUAACUUAGCCUAUUGGUACUGGAUAAAGAAUAACUUCUUCGUCUAUAUGGACUAAAUUACACACAACAAAAUCUUAAUAUUAAACUUGAUUCAAUUUCACCAUUUGCUGUUAAAAGUCAAUUAGUUCACGUCGUUUUUGUGUUUGUUUUAUUAUUUAAUUGGCUUUAAUAUAAAAUAACGCCGUAAAUAUACUUAAUUUUACGCCGCAUUUUUUAUGUAUAUCUAUGUAGUAAUUUUCAUUUGAUCCAAUUUAAAUAACAUAAAAUUUACAUAA